UAUCGUGACGACCUUCGGUUCCCCUCGAGAAUUGGGUUUUGCACGUUAAAAUACCGCUGAAAACCGAAAAUAAAUCGGAGUGGUUCAGCGAUAUCGUAUUGUAGAUGACACAUAUACCCAGUUGAGAUGCCGUGGAUCGUGCAGCGGUGGGUUUCCUCGCUACUCGUAAUCGCAGUUAUCCAUAUUAAGUGGUCCCAUCAGGACGCCACAGUCUGUGUAUUGUGACUGAAGGCCGACCCACAGAGGAUCACCUUCCAUCACCCUGUACUGUACGCCUCUCAGCGUGUUAGCCUACACAAAGGGAAUUUGAAGAACCUACAGGUCACUGUCAGUUUUUUUGGCGCCCUGCCACCAGAUGUCAUCUCUGCCUUCACCUGAACAUUUCACUCCCUUAAUGUUUAGUGACAUCAGUUUGAUAUAGAGCUUCUAUUUAAUUUGAGUCUGCUGCCAAGAUUAGAGGACGUCCAUUCAAUCCAUCAAGCG